CUGGCAUUGUUGAGGAAGGGAGAAAGGAUUCUGUCCCCACAGAGUUCUGAGGGUUUCUGCCAUCCUGGAUGUCCAAGGGAGUGUGGCAUCAUAGAAGAGGAAAAGAGUCUGGUAUCAGAGAAGUAGUAGCAAUUUUGGAAUCACUGAGGAAGGAAGGAGUCUCAUCACAGAACUGUCUGAUGCUCCACGGCUGCUGGGAAUCUUGUGUGACGAUAUUUUGUAACACAACAUUGGGAAAACACUGACCGUCAUUGCAGCUGCAGGUGGCCCCAAGGAGGCAUCAGACUGUGACCAAGGGCCCUUAUGGGAAGCCUUCAAGAAAUUUUCUCACUGGCGUUUGACCCUUUUUUGUCUUCAAACUUCAGUGACUUUCAAGAGGCAUCUCCUACCCUGUAACAAGAAUUGAUGGACAGCACCAGGUCUGGGCAGCACAGUGGGGAUGCGAAGAGUGGAGAGCUGUCGGGAAGAGUGGGUUGGCAGAGACAGCAUCAGCCACCUGCAGACACAAACCGGUUUUCUGAAAAUAGCAGGGCAUUUGAAUUGAGGCUCCUCUUUAAUGUGAAUUUAUACUUCCAGACAAAACCAGUAUGGGAUGACAUUUCUCAACCAUUCCAUUGAUUACUCAGCUUGGCACAGAUGUUGUUUGGUGUCUGCUGGGGGAAACUUCCAUCCCCUAUGCUGAAUGUUUUCCUCCUGUUUCCUGUUUGGUGACUGGUUGAUAGACAUGGAUGGGUGGGUGAAUUCUCUGCACCUGGGCACAGGGAUUGAGUGGCAUGGAAAGAUGGGAUCUGGUAGGAUUUCACUUCUUGAAAGAUGAGUCCUGGUUGGUGGCCGCUCAGUGAUGUUUAAAAGCUGUUUAUUGAGACUACAUAAAGAGCCAAUGUUACAUAUGCAAUAUCUAAUAUAUGUAGACUAUUGCUCUCUUUUUCUGCAUAAGCUCUGUGAACAUCCUGAGUGAAAACACAACCAGUUCCUUGAUGGUGAAGUGUCAGGCAGUGGGAUUGUAUCAUCCCCAGCUGGCAGGGGGAUCAGCAGAGUGAUGUUGUAUAAAAAGGAAUCAGUUAGCCAUCCUUUGUUAUCCCAGGUACAAAGCUGGGCAGUGGUAAACUACGUUCUGAAGAAUCUCACACGCUCUAAAGAACACCCCUGGGCAGUGUGUGCUGGGCUGGGGGACCACAGGAGCACCUGUCCUUGGGAGAUGGAGGCUUCUCCCUGGGUGGGGUUUGGUCUGUGAGGGUCAGGCCAGUCUGUUGGGCUGGCUCUGGUCCUGUCGUGUGCCCUGGGGGUAGAUGAGGUGACCCACCAAGGUUUCUGCCAGCACUGUGCCUCUGGAACUGCCUGCAUUUACACUUCAACUUGUCUGCUGCAUGAGAAGUAUUUCAG